rnacentral:rRNA from 1 species
GACGAACGCUGGCGGCGUGCUUAACACAUGCAAGUCGAACGGAAAGGCCCUGCUUUUGUGGGGUGCUCGAGUGGCGAACGGGUGAGUAACACGUGAGUAACCUGCCCUUUACUUUGGGAUAACUUCAGGAAACUGGGGCUAAUACCGGAUAGGAGCUCCUGCUGCAUGGUGGGGGUUGGAAAGUUUCGGCGGUUGGGGAUGGACUCGCGGCUUAUCAGCUUGUUGGUGGGGUAGUGGCUUACCAAGGCUUUGACGGGUAGCCGGCCUGAGAGGGUGACCGGCGACAUUGGGACUGAGAGACGGCCCAGACGCCUACGGGAGGCAGCAGUGGGGAAUAUUGCACAAUGGGCGGAAGCCUGAUGCAGAAACGCCGCGUGCGGGAUGACGGCCUUCGGGGUGUAAACCGCUUUCGCCUGUGACGAAGCGUGAGUGACGGUAAUGGGUAAAGAAGCACCGGCUAACUACGUG